AGCCAGGUUCUGCGCAACAAAAACUCGCGAACCCCGCCAGGUCCGGGAGGAAGCAACGGUAGUGAGUAAUUUUGUGUGUUGCAGAAUACCUGGCUAUC
rfam:Desulfobacterales bacterium SG8_35_2 WOR_8-12_8327, whole genome shotgun sequence.